rnacentral:rRNA from 1 species
UACGUAGGGGGCUAGCGUUGUCCGGAAUCAUUGGGCGUAAAGAGCGUGUAGGCGGCCCGAUAAGUCCGCUGUGAAAGUCCAGGGCUCAACCCUGGGAUGCCGGUGGAUACUGUCGGGCUCGAGUCCGGAAGAGGAGUGUGGAAUUCCUGGUGUAGCGGUGAAAUGCGCAGAUAUCAGGUGGAACACCAAUGGCGAAGGCAGCACUCUGGGACGUGACUGACGCUGAGACGCGAAAGCGUGGGGAGCAAACAGG